CACUCCUCUAUAAAAGCUUGAUUCAAUAGUUUUGGAUGAGAAGUGGAAUGCACAGUGACAGACAGCAUCUCAGAACUUGUGGAGAAAAUGUAUAAAUCCCUUUUAAAAUUGAUUCUAGAGAAACAUUGCAAAUAUGGUUGGAAUAAAGCUGCUUGUGCUUCUUUUGAUUAUUGAUGUGGGAAGCUGUCAAGUGGAAACUACAAAUGCUACCACAACAUCCACAGCUGCUCCAAUAGCAACCACAAUUGCUCCUACAACAACCACACCUGCACCUGAACCAAUGCCAGUUGAUCCUACAACAACCACAGUUCCCACCACAACUACAGUUGCUUCUUCAACUGACAUCUGCUACAAGAUCAGUAUUCUCACAAUCUGUGUAGCUCUUAUCACCCAAAUACUUUUCUAAAAUGAAUGUCUUGUUUUUUUCUUGUAUGGUUUAUAAUAUAAUAUGGAUAUGUCACUUUGUAUUCAUAUAACAAGGCAUUAGAAAAUCCGCUUCAAAAUGGCAUGUAACUUUGGUUCAAAUGUUGUGAAAUGUUCAGGGUAGGCUAGAUUCUUUAGAUCGAGAAUGUUAUAUAUAUAUACAUAUAUAUAUAUAUAUAUAUAUACAUAUAUAUGUAUAUAUAUUGAUUAUAAUGCUUUCCAAAAAGUAUAAUAUUAGAUACCAUAUCACACCAAACCUACAGUAGGAUGAAGGAUGUUGGAUGAAGAAAUCUUGAGUCUGUACAUUGCACUGUCCCUUAUUUAAAAUAGCUAAAAUAAUUUGUGUGUUUUACAUAGAAAGAUUCACAAGCCUUAAUUGUAUUUUACUGCGACUGCCUUCAUCAAUAGAAGGUGUGUUUUGUAUUUAUAUGUGUUGAUUAUUAUACUAUUCAGGUAAUAUAACAUUAAAAAAUCUGCUUUUCCUUUAA